rnacentral:rRNA from 4 species
GGUUGACCUCGGAUCAGGUAGGGAUACCCGCUGAACUUAAGCAUAUCAAA